CCUAACGGCGUGCCUCGGCAUCA
rnacentral:siRNA from 1 species